rfam:Ovis aries breed Texel chromosome 11, whole genome shotgun sequence.
UCCCUGAUGGUCCAGUGGCUAAGACUCUGUGCUCCCAAUGCAAGGGGCCCGGGUUCAAUCCUUGGUCAGGGAA